rnacentral:misc_RNA from 1 species
AGAGGGCUUCAUGAUAAGGUUAUUUUCUUAUUAAUAUACAAUGAACCCAUUGAAAGAACUUGGAUUCUGAUUCUAAACCAUUAAAGAAAAUUUAUUAGGUGUUAAAAUUUUUAUUAUAUAAAUGGUCUGUUAUCAAUGGUUAAUGCUCUUUGGUUGACUUCAGUACUUCACUUCAUCCUUCAUAUGUAUUGUUCUAGUCUAAUUGCAGCACUAGGUGAACUGUCAAGUAUUGGUGAUAUUGACGUAUAUCUUUGUUUUUUAUUUUUUACUUUUGGUGGUUUUUUGGAGAAAGGUUAACCUUUGAAAAUUUUGUAUUAACAAGAAAUCCUCCAGCACAAUUAUUGAAGAUGAUGGGAUUUGUUAAUCAUCCUAUUGUCCUUUUGAAUGGUAUCUUUAUUUCCAUACCCAUUAUCUAGUUUUUUUGAUCAAUUGUCACCUCUCCUUGCACUUAGGUAGGCAGAGGAGUAAAUAAGUGCUACCCCAUUAUUGCAUGUGGCAAUUAAAGAAUUUUUUUUUUUCGUUUUUUG